UACGUAGGGUCCGAGCGUUGUCCGGAAUUACUGGGCGUAAAGAGCUCGUAGGCGGUUUGUCGCGUUGUUCGUGAAAACUCACAGCUCAACUGUGGGCGUGCGGGCGAUACGGGCAGACUUGAGUACUGCAGGGGAGACUGGAAUUCCUGGUGUAGCGGUGGAAUGCGCAGAUAUCAGGAGGAACACCGGUGGCGAAGGCGGGUCUCUGGGCCGAUACUGACGCUGAGGAGCGAAAGCGUGGGGAGAGAACAGG
rnacentral:rRNA from 1 species